rnacentral:tRNA from 1 species
GAGGGUAGAGCUCAGCGGUAGAGCGUGUGCUCAGCAUGCAUGAGGUCCCGGGUUCAAUCCCAGUACCUCCA